rnacentral:rRNA from 1 species
UACGUAGGGGGCUAGCGUUAUCCGGAAUUACUGGGCGUAAAGGGUGCGUAGGUGGUUUCUUAAGUCAGAGGUGAAAGGCUACGGCUCAACCGUAGUAAGCCUUUGAAACUGGGAAACUUGAGUGCAGGAGAGGAGAGUGGAAUUCCUAGUGUAGCGGUGAAAUGCGUAGAUAUUAGGAGGAACACCAGUUGCGAAGGCGGCUCUCUGGACUGUAACUGACACUGAGGCACGAAAGCGUGGGGAGCAAACAGGAUUAGAUACCCGCGUAGUCCCUGAGCGGG